rnacentral:rRNA from 1 species
AGUGAACGCUGGCGGUAGGCCUAACACAUGCAAGUCGAACGGCAGCACAGUAAGAGCUUGCUCUUGCGGGUGGCGAGUGGCGGACGGGUGAGGAAUACAUCGGAAUCUACUUUUUCGUGGGGGAUAACGUAGGGAAACUUACGCUAAUACCGCAUACGACCUACGGGUGAAAGCAGGGGAUCUUCGGACCUUGCGCGAUUGAAUGAGCCGAUGUCGGAUUAGCUAGUUGGCGGGGUAAAGGCCCACCAAGGCGACGAUCCGUAGCUGGUCUGAGAGGAUGAUCAGCCACACUGGAACUGAGACACGGUCCAGACUCCUACGGGAGGCAGCAGUGGGGAAUAUUGGACAAUGGGCGCAAGCCUGAUCCAGCCAUACCGCGUGGGUGAGGAAGGCCUUCGGGUUGUAAAGCCCUUUUGUUGGGAAAGAAAAGCAGCAGGUUAAUACCCCGCUGUUCUGACGGUACCCAAAGAAUAAGCACCGGCUAACUUCGUG